ACCUCGAUGAUCUAAAGAUUUCGAAUACUCGCCCGGAAAGCAAGAGAUCCAGGUUCGAUUCCUGGCCAAGGUA
rnacentral:tRNA from 1 species